AGAGUUUGAUCCUGGCUCAGAACGAACGCUGGCGGCGUGGAUAAGACAUGCAAGUUGAACGGUUGAUAUAGGGUAGCAAUAUUCUGUAUCAGCAGUGGUGUAAGGGUGCUUAACACGUGGGUAAUCUGCCGCGAAGUGUGGGAUAACUCGCUGAAAGGCGAGCUAAUACCGCAUGUGAUUUUCUUGAGGCAUCUCAGGGAAUUCAAACAUGGGUCGCAAGGCCUGUGGUUUCGCGAUGAGCCCGCGGCCUAUCAGCUAGUUGGCGGGGUAAAGGCCCACCAAGGCUAAGACGGGUAGCUGGUCUGAGAGGACGACCAGCCACACUGGAACUGAGACACGGUCCAGACACCUACGGGUGGCAGCAGUCGAGAAUUUUUCACAAUGGGGGAAACCCUGAUGGAGCGACGCCGCGUGGGGGAUGAAGGGCUUCGGCUCGUAAACCCCUGUCAUUGGCGAACAAGUGUUGCGUCCUAAUACGGCGCAACUUGAUAGUAGCCGAAGAGGAAGGGACGGCUAACUCUGUGCCAGCAGCCGCGGUAAUACAGAGGUCCCGAGCGUUGUUCGGAUUCACUGGGCGUAAAGGGUGCGUAGGUGGUUGGUUAAGUUUGAGGUGAAAGCUCCGAGCUCAGCUCGGAAAAUGCCUUGAAGACUAUCUGACUAGAGGAUUGGAGGGGAGACUGGAAUUCUCGGUGUAGCAGUGAAAUGCGUAGAUAUCGAGAGGAACACCAGUGGCGAAGGCGAGUCUCUGGACAAUUCCUGACACUG
rnacentral:rRNA from 1 species